rnacentral:lncRNA from 1 species
ACCGGGUCCCCGUACCCGACCAAUGACCGGGUACGAGGACGGGGAUGAUUUUUGAGUCCUGGUAUUUCCCCGUCCCCGUCCCGUCCCCACUCACUCCUACCGGAAACUAUUGUCCAAGCUGGGAAUGCAUGAUAUACACUUUCUAGCUUGAAAGGGUGUUAAACACUCUAUAAUUAUACACUUAGUAUUUAUCUCUUUAAUCCAGGAAUGGACUUUUGAUAGUUCAGCACAAUACUUAUUGGCCUCUUAAGUCAUCAUAUAUAAGUAGAAACUUGUAAUUAAAAACAUUUUCUUUUGAUUUAUUUUGAAUACAAAAAUCGUUUGUUGAAACCCUAGUGUCGGUUUGUCUCACAUCUCCCCCUUCCUCCAAUCAGUGCCGAUCAUUACGCUUGAUCUCAACGCUCACUCUCCAACACUUCUUGUUGUAAUCCUGACGUUCUCAAUGAUAACGGAAAAAAAUGGUCUAAGGGUUUGCUUCGUUGUAAGACAUGGCAGGUCUUAUACUAUGUAAGAUACGAAGAGGAAGGGGAAGUCUCUGACCGAUAGCCGGAGAAAAGGAAGAGAAGUAAACAAUUGCAAUUUCGUAAUUAUUUUGUGUAUGUGUGUGAGUUGGUACAAAAAAGGUCAAUCUUCCCAACUUUGGGUCUGGACAAUACAAGAGUAAAUGAAUGGAACAUGAUUUAUAUCAUUGUUUGGAAAAUAAAUGAAUUAGGUAGAUUUUCUGUGUGUCGAAUUUUAAUACGUUAAAAUGUGUCAAAAAAAUCCUGACUAUUAGAUCGACAUUUCGUCGUACAUGAGUUAGUGUCUACAUUCUUUUUCAUUGUACGUGUGUUAGUGUCUUAUGCAGUAUAUUAUCGUAGUUGUUGAAUUAAAAAUUAAAAGACAGAAAUACGUACGACGUAUUUUGGCACACCG